GUUUUUGUUUUUAAUUUAGAUGGGGCUCUCUGUUCAACAAAAGGUUGAGAAUAUACUGAAUUGCAAUGUCUUAGGCCGUUCUCUUAAAACCAAGAGCGCCAUCAAGUGGGCUCAGAAAAUAAAGACUGGUUCACAAAGCUUCAUUCAGCCAU